GACGGAGGAGGCAAGCGUUAUCCGGAAUUAUUGGGCGUAAAGGGUACGUAGGCGGCUAGUCAAGUCUGGGGUCAAAGGCCACAGCUCAACUGUGGGAAGGCCCUGGAAACUGACCGGCUAGAGUGAGGUAGGGGUUGCGGGAAUUCCCGGUGUAGCGGUGAAAUGCGUAGAGAUCGGGAAGAACACCUGAGGCGGAAGCGCGCAACUGGGCCUCAACUGACGCUGAGGUACGAAAGCCAGGGGAGCGAACGGG
rnacentral:rRNA from 1 species